rnacentral:lncRNA from 1 species
UUUUGCGUAAAAUUUUUAUACGACUUGUUGCGUGUCAUCGGUUUAAAACAUUUUCAGUUGGAGGUCCGGCCAAAUACGUAAUUUAGACGGUCGAACGACCUUUUCCGUGCGUUUAGGGGUUUGACUUACGAGAUUGACCGUCCGGAUCGAGCCCUUAUUCUUUUCGGAUCAAGUUGAAUUUUUUCCCAUACAUGUAUUUUAUCAUGAUGGUCAGAUCUGACGGUCGGAUGACUGUUUCUCAAGUUUGAUCAUCACAAUCACAACAGGCAUACUAAUGUUGUGUAACUUGUUUACCUAGUGUUAUGUAAAUGUUCCGUUUCAAAAACAAACUAUACGUAAAACCUUCAAACGGCAAAAAGUCAUGAAAUAAGAUAUGACGAGAAUGUUGAAAUACAUCCACGGUUGAAAAAUCACACUAUUCCGGUAAAUAUUCGGUGCCGAUAGUUGCGGUCAAUGCAAUUUUUCAUUUUUUCCCCCUAUGAGUAGCCCUAUAUUCGGUGGUUAUUUUACGUAAAAUUUUUAUACGACUUGUUGGGUGUCAUCGGUUUAAAACUAUUUUCAGUUGGAGGUCCGGCCAAAAUACGUAAUUUAGACGGUCGAACGACCUUUUCCGUGCGUUUAGGGGUUUGACUUACGAGAUUGACCGUCCGGAUCGAGCCCUUAUUCUUUUCGGAUCAAGUUGAAUUUUUUCCCAUACAUGUAUUUUAUCAUGAAGGUCAGAUCUGACGGUCGGAUUUCUGUUUCUCAAGUUUGAUCAUCACAAUCACAACAUGCCAAAUGUAUACAAAUACUUUUAGCCGACGAAUUUCAAAGUUUUAGCCGACGAAAUUUAAGACUUUUUUUCUCCGAAGGCCGUUUCCCGAGCGAACUCUCAGAACCGGCAACGCAACACAAGGAACCAUCAUGGCGGUUCUAGACCGUUCGCUGUCUUCAUAGACGAGGCGGCCAGGGAACAUCCAGAGGUCAACCCGUACGUCUAUACGUACGAGAAGGCAUAUCCUGACUCCCAGGAGGAUAUUGUAAAUCAUUU